rnacentral:piRNA from 1 species
CNGGAAGACCUACUCUUCAGCAAUCUCACC